AAUCAACGCUGGCGGCGUGCCUCAGACAUGCAAGUCGAACGCGAAAGUUCCCUUCGGGGAGCGAGUAGAGUGGCGCACGGGUGAGUAACACGUGGAUAAUUUACCUUCGGGUGGGGAAGUAACAACCGGAAACGGUUGCUAAUACCGCAUAAUGCAGCGGCAUCUAUGAUGACAGUUGUUAAAGCGGGGGAUCGCAAGACCUCGCGCCUGAAGAGAAGUCCGCGGCAGAUAGCUAGUUGGUAGGGUAAUAGGCCUACCAAGGCGACGAUCUGUAGCCGGCCUGAGAGGGCGGUCGGCCACACUGACACUGACAUACGGGUCAGACUCCUACGGGAGGCAGCAGUCGGGAAUUUUGGGCAAUGGGCGAAAGCCU
rnacentral:rRNA from 1 species